UUGAGCACUAUCUCCGCCCUGGUAACUACUCUGCACCUCCUUUCAAUUGUUAUGCCCAAUAUAUCUGAGAGAUUUGCAUGAAUUCUCCCUCUUGCCAUCCCACACCCCAAGCAUCCCCCAGUGCCCAAUCUAAAAACAUCUGAUACUUUCUCCCUCUAGGCAAUGUCUUUACCUUCACUGCAUGUUUGAGUCUAUUACCCCAAAAGUAACACACAAAGAUCUCUCGUCAUAACGUAAACAUUUCUCUUCAGAACUUUGACAAGGUCCUCACAGGAAACUUUGACCAUUGUUUGUGGCACAGUAUCUUGUGUGUCCCAGGUCCAACUCGGUCCACAUUUGAUCCCGUACUCUCUGAACACUUCAAUAUUGUUUGUUCAGAAACAUCACUCAUUCCACACGUGGGGUAAGAGCCUGAGGCUCCUUAUAGUUCUCAAACUCAUGGGAGGGAAAAGAGCACCUAUGCAUCCUUGUGGAGGAAAGUUAUUUUUCAUGUCUCUUGUUGAGUCAUGCCCAGUGCCGGGUAACAGAAUUGCUUUACCCAAAGAACAAUGGAUGGUGAUACUUCAUAUCCAGUUCCAGCACUCCCACUUUUCAAACAUGGCACCCGAAAGCAUAUCUACAUGAAUCGAUGCUGCUGUUCACAGAGAUGGAACAAGGUCAGAAUGUGCAAUAACACUCCUCCAUUGAAGGGAGUCCAUUCACAACUAACAGUAGAGCUGUUACAACACUGUCACACCUCAUGUACACUCACCUGCUCAUUCUACUCUCUCUCUCAAUCACCCCCUCACCAUUGAAGUUCAAAGUUCAAAGUAAAUUUAUUAUGUAUACCGUGUACAACUCUGAGGUUCAUUCGCUAUGGAGGAUUAUUUGGUUUUGUUCCAGUUCUCUGAUUACCCAGCUAGCUAAUGAAGGCAACCUGGUAACCACAGACCAGCUCCGACAGAGAUUUCUGACGGGACUGGCAGAUGGAGUCAGGAGACAAGGACGACUUUGGCUUCUGCAUAUUCAAACUACAUGAAAUCAAAUAUCGUCCCAAAUGCUUCUCUACUUUGAGCAGUAAUGGGCCAAAUAAUCCAAAGAGUCAGUUUUGUUUCCCAAAGAAACUUUCAUCUUUUCAGGAUACUUCAGGAGGGCUCUACAAUGGAUAGUUAAACUGCCCAGCACAUCACUGGUACCAGCCUACCUGUCACGAAGGACAAAAUUAUGCACAAAAAGGUGCUGGCAAAAGACCAGCAAUAUCAUGAAGGAUCCCACACACCCUCCUUAUGAAUUGUUUGUCCCACUGCCAUCAAGAAAAAGGCUACACAGCAUCUAUAAAAGUUGCUGCUGCGUUCACCAGCAACUUUUAUGUGUGUUGCUUGAAUUUCCAGCAUCUGCAGAAUUCCUGUUGUUUACACAGCAUCUAUGCCUGGACCACUGGAUUCAAAAACAGUUACUCCCCUAAGCCGUCGGGCUGAUCAACACUUCCACCCAACCCAUCGAGAACACCUAGAGUCACUGUAUUGUCACGUGACCGGCAACAAUGAAUAUAGAAUUGAGUCAGUUUUUAGAAAAACAAACAAACAUUUAUUAAACUCUGCUCAAAAAUAGCAAAAUGUAUUUAAACGACUAACUUAACCGGAAGUUAACUCUGGAACAGUUCUUAAAAGGGUAAAUGAGGAAACUGUUCUUAAAGUGGUAAAUUCGAACACAGUUCUUAGAAUAGUAAAUUCAAAAGUCCAAGAGAUUUAUACAGUCAAUUAGGAGAGACUUUCCUGAAGAAGGAUUUCUCCAUAGACGCGACAUUUCUGCUGGUUCUGUCCAAAGGAUUCACAACAAAGGAAAUAAACAGCUUAAAAGGAACUGAUCUUUUCCUGGUGAGCGAACCCUGCACGAACUUCCUUGCUCUUUUGGCAGGAGUUAUCUCAGAUGCAGGUCACUAUUUCUUGACCGAAGACUCAAUAAGGUCGAUCCUUUAUGAAACUGCCAAACGACACCAACUUUUCUCAAUCCUUCGGUUCUCGUACUUUUAUAAAGGUGUUCACUCUCCAAUAUUAAACUGCAAAGGUAAAACUAAAACAAAAACCUAGCAGAUAUGGUCGAAACUGCCAGCACAAAGGUUUAACCUUAAAAUAGAAAGUAAAACUCCGGUUUAAAAACGAACUGCAUCAUAAGACGAAUAUGCAGUAUACGGAGUAUCUAACACAAAACCAAACUGAAAGCUAACUGCGUAACACCAAGGGUCUCCUUUAUAUACCUGUUGAGAACAGGUCAUCAUGUGACCUCACUGGCGGGAAAAUUACAUCAUGGACCUCCGCAAGACCAUUACAUCAUGCUCACAAGAUACUCAAUUACAUCAUGGUUAUGAGACAGUCACAAGAUACCCACGAGAACAUCGGAUCCAGAGUAACAAUCAUUUCGUUGUCCUUUGCAUUUGUGUACUGAAAAUGAUGAAAUAAUCUUGAAUCUUGAAUCUCUCUGCUCCCAGAUCAUUGACGGAACGUCGCUUUGGGAAUCCAGUACAGCGAAGCAGGUACAGAGGUGACAAGAUAGAAGUGUGCAAGACACUGCCUCGAGUUUGCUCGCUGCUGCCCUCUGGUGUUCACCCAAUAGAAGAACAAAUUGGACUCUCAGCUUUCGUUUCUGAAAUCAUAACUUUAUGUGCUACAUGCUACAUGCAGUGUACUGUUGGUAAUGUCUUUUGCACCUUGACCCUGGGUCAUUUGGCUGUAUUCACGUGUGGUUAAAUGAUAAUAAAAACUGAACAUGAAUUUGUUAAGAGGCAGAGAUAGAGUGCCUAGUUUGCACCCUUUUCUCGGUGCAGAAAUCUCUAAUACAAUUGGACAUAUUUUUGAGGUGAUUGUUGGAAAGUAUAGGGGGAUGUCAGAAGUAGCUUUUUUACACAGAAAGUAGUGAGUGCACGGAAUGAUCUGCCUGGUGUGUUGGUAGAGGCAGAUACAUUCGGGAUAUUUAAGAAACUCAGGGAGAUGGAUGUAUAAAAAUGUGGGAGAGAAGGGUUACAUUAAUCUUGGAGUAGGUUAAAAGGCUGGCACAACAUCUAGGGCAAUAGGGCCUGUAGUGUGCUGUACUGUUCCGUUUGAGAUGUGUGGGGAAAUUUUUUGUUUCAAAGUGGUGUGUGUCUGGAAUGUGCUGGCAGGAAGCAGUUACACCAGAGUCAUUUAAGAGACUAUUUUAGAUACGGGAAUGGAGGAAUAUGGACAAUGUGCAGGCAGGAGGAAUUUGGAGGAGGAAAUGUUGGGCCUCCCAAUGAGCACUAAGGUGGAUGUUCCCAGGACCUGGUGGGGUUUACCCCAGGUUAUUGAAGGAGGCAAGAAACGAGAUUGCUGGGCCCUUUGCCAAUAUCUUGGUGUUCUCUCUAGUCAAAGGCAAGAUCCAGGAGGAAUGGCCAGUGGCUAAUGUUGUUUCUCUAUUUAAGGAGGGAAAAUCCUGAGAACAAUAGACUGGCGAGAUUCAGAUCACAUGUAGGGAAUUUGCUGGAGAAAAUUAUUGGAGAGAGGAUAUAUGAGCUUUCGAAAACCGAUGGCCUAAUUAGGGAGAGGCAGCAUGGCUUUGUGAGGGGUAGGGUGUGUCUUACCAACGUGAUUUUUUUUUGACAAGAUGAUGCUGAGGGUAGGGGAAUUGAUGUUGUCUGCAUGGAUUUUAGUGUUUGACAAAGUCCCUCAUGGGAGCCUCAUCCAGAAGAUUAAGAUGCAAGGGAUCUGUGGCAAAUUGGCUGCUUCGGCUCAGAGCUGGCUUCACAUAGGAGACAGGGUUUGGG